CUGGUGUACCAGUUGUCUUGCCAAAGGCAUCGCUGGGUAGCUAUGUGCGGAAGGGAUAAGUGCUGAAAGCAUCUAAGCAUGAAGCCCCCCUCGAGAUGAGAUUUCCCAUCACUUUAUGUGAGUAAGAUCCCUGAAAGAUGAUCAGGUAGAUAGGUCUGAGGUGGAAGCGUGGCGACACGUGCAGCUGACAGAUACUAAUCGAUCGAGGACUUAACCACAGU
rnacentral:rRNA from 1 species